ACUCCUACGGGAGGCAGCAGUGGGGAAUUUUGGACAAUGGGCGAAAGCCUGAUCCAGCAAUGCCGCGUGAGUGAAGAAGGCCUUCGGGUUGUAAAGCUCUUUUGUCAGGGAAGAAACGGUGAAAGCUAAUAUCUUUUGCUAAUGACGGUACCUGAAGAAUAAGCACCGGCUAACUACGUGCCAGCAGCCGCGGUAAUACGUAGGGUGCAAGCGUUAAUCGGAAUUACUGGGCGUAAAGCGUGCGCAGGCGGUUUUGUAAGUCUGAUGUGAAAUCCCCGGGCUCAACCUGGGAAUUGCAUUGGAGACUGCAAGGCUAGAAUCUGGCAGAGGGGGGUAGAAUUCCACGUGUAGCAGUGAAAUGCGUAGAUAUGUGGAGGAACACCGAUGGCGAAGGCAGCCCCCUGGGUCAAGAUUGACGCUCAUGCACGAAAGCGUGGGGAGCAAACAGGAUUAGAUACCCUGUAGUCCCAUG
rnacentral:rRNA from 1 species